CCUGCAUAGGCACAGAGGAUAAGGAAGGGCUAAUCCAGUGAAAUAGUCUCAUAAACGAGCUAUUAAAAAGUUAAGAAGAAAAGAAUUUCAAAAGGGAACUACUAGAUCCCAAGGAGCUGGAGUUGUAGCAUCAAGGGUUGGGAUUGAAGAUGGUGGAGUUGGAUCAUCAUCUCAAUCAUAGCCAGUGGUUACUAGCUGAAAGUCCCUUGACGUUAUUUUUUGCUUAUUUUGGUCUGCAUCCACUAAAGAUAUAUGGAGUCAUUACUAUUUUUUUGGUAUAACAGUACUACUCAAUUACAUUUUUUGAGAAUCAUCAUUUGGGUGGUAUCAUUGCACUUCUCAAAAUGCAUAAUAGAUCCUUCUAAAUUGCUUAUCU